AGGAGAAAAAGGAGGAACUGGAGGCUACUGACGAGACAACGAGCUAGAGGUUGUCGUCGCCAUAGCCAGCCCACACCUCGCCGUGGCCCACGCUGCCAGGGAGGGAGGAGAGGGAGCCCGGUGGCGGUGGCCAAGGAGGAAGCCAACUCGAUUCGCAUUGAUGACAACAGCUCUGAACAUAUCGACGCCAUCUCCGGGAAGAUGCCGACGACAGUGGCAGCUCGGCUAGAUCCGACGAGCAUGACGCCGGAUCUAUCCAGCAAGCAUGAUGUCGGAUCCACGCCAGAGAGCUCAAGCGCCGCCGAUCCCGUCGCCCUCUGCCACAUGGAGCUCGACGUCGGAGAUCUCUUCACCACCAUGAACUGGGCGGGCCACGCCUCGUCGAUAAUGUGA
rnacentral:lncRNA from 1 species